AACGCAUUCACCUUUAUUCCAUUCCUAUGUUUCAAUACAUCUCCAUUUCUGAGAGGAUUCCUACAAAUAAAUGUCUUCAGCCUUACAGAUGAUACAUUGUAAAUACAAAUAUACAAUAUAAUCAUUGCUACAGACAAGCAGCCACACCAUCGUUGUCUAACACUGAACAUUUAAUUACUAACUUGCUGCUUCCCCAGGAGCUCUCCGGUAAACAACUAUCUCAUCUGAACUUGGUUUGGCAUUAUAUUGCCCAUAAAAUGCAUAAAUUGCAGCCAUGAUGAUGCUCAGGACAAAGAAUCUCACCCAUGCUUCAUGAUGCAGCUGAGCAAACAGGAAGAUGUUGAAGAAGAUGCCAACAACUGGCACAAUUGGAACACCAGGACAAGAAAAUCCAGGAGGAUCCGUGUAAACUUGACGAAAAUAAAGAGCUGCAGCAGCAAGUACAGCUAUGACAAUUGCUAUAACCAAGAAAACAACUGAAGCACCAUAACGAAAAAACAGACCAGCAGCAAAGCCACAGCAGGCAACUAUGAUAAGGCAAAUGACUCCUUCCUGCCAGGCUGAAGUCCACCUUGAAGAAACUUGACUCACUGCCUUAUCCUUCCAACGCAGGGUUACUACACAAGCUGAAACAACAGAAUAACCUGUCUGCAAAAGUUUAAUGUGAUGUGAGGUGCAUAUAACCUGCUAAUAAUAGUUAAAGAAAAAAAGGUACUAGUUCACUAGUCCUGGUUACUAGCACAAUACAUGUCCAUAUAUUCAGAAGAUAUAUAUUGCUGCAUCCCAAAUCCGAAGAAAAAAAUACCAGAUGAUUAUGGUACAUAAAAAAAGUAUCAGAAUGACGUACCAAUGAACCAACAGAAAGAAUGUGGGAAAGCACAUGCACAUUAAAUAAUCCCCCCAAAAUGCUGGCAACAAUACCAACCCAAACUUGAGAAUGAAUAGGAGUAUGGUGCGUUGGGUGAACUUUAGCAAAUAUAGAAGGCAGUAAACCAUCUCUUCCAAGCCCCAGGUACAACCGAGACUGCUCAUAAGAAACACAGCAAAAUUCACAUAUGCAAAGCCAUAUAAUAGUAUGCCAAUUGUGUAGAAAGGCUGAAGCAAUUCACCUGAACAUAAAGACCAACUAAAAGAGUGGUUGUAAGUCCAGCAACAGCACCUACGCUGAUUAAAACAGAAAUGUACUUCAAGCCCUUGGAUUUAAAAGCCUCAGCCAAAGGAGCAUCUUCACCAAGGAGAUUGUAAGGUACCAUCCCAGUGAGCACUAAACAAACUCCAAUAUACAAGACAACGCAUAUAAAAAGGCUUCCUAUGAUGCCCAGUGGCAAAUCCCGCUGUGGUCUCUUUGCUUCUUCAGCUGAAUUUGCAACAGCAUCAAACCCAACAUAUGCAAAAAAUACUACAGUUGCACCAGUCAAUAUUGCUUUAACACCCUUCGGAGCAAAAGGAGACCAAUUUGAAACAUCAACCUCAAAAGCACCCACAAAGAUGACAAUGAUAACAAUAACAAUCUUUGUCACAGUCAUGAAAAAGUUCAAAGUCGAAGAUUCUCCAACACCCCAGCACAGAAUUACAGUCAGAAGAGUAAGGAGAAUUGGUGCUAACACGUUGAUAGAAAGUGUUCCUCCGAAGAAUUCUUGACCACCAUGUCCAAUCCAGCUUGGAAUGUGAUCUCUAAAAAGGGGAAAGAGUUCUAAAAUUGUGACUACAUAACUUGCUAAACUUCGCGCUAUGCUAGCUGCCCCAAUGUGGUAAUCAAGCAUCAGUUGACCAAAAACAAGGAAAGCAGUGAUUUCAUUGAAAGCUGAAUAUGCAUACAAGUAUGCUCCUCCAACAACAGCAGGGAAACGAGAAGCCAGCUCAGCAUAACAGAGUGCAUUUAAUAUACAUGAUACUCCGGCUAGUAUGAAACUAAUUGUGACUCCAGGUCCAGCAUCGCGAGCGACGGUUCCGGUGACGACGAAGAUACCGGCACCAAUGGAGGCACCAACGCCAAGCAGAAUAAGAUCGAAGAGACCGAGACGGCGGACGAGUCCAUCGGAGGAAUUUGUAGCGACGAUAGUGUCAAAGGGUGAAUUUAUAGGUUUGGUCCUGCGAGCAGAGGACCAACACUGAGAAAACCAGGAAGGCGGUGCUUUAGAGAAAGAGUUGCUGCUUGCCAUCGACAACGGUUGCCUGCCUUCACUGUUAGGACCAAUUUAGAUUUUCAUUUUCAACGCGUUAUGGUUUCUCCUUCUAUAUAUACGGCGUCCAGGUACACUCCGUU
rnacentral:misc_RNA from 1 species